GAUGAACGCUAGCGGCAGGCCUAACACAUGCAAGUCGAGGGAGAGGUUACCUUCGGGUAACCAAAACCGGCGCACGGGUGCGUAACGCGUAUACAAUCUGCCUUUCACAUAGGGAUAGCCCGAAGAAAUUUGGAUUAAUACCUAAUGGUAUAUAAGAGCGGCAUCGUUUUUAUAUUAAAGCUACGGUGGUGAAAGAUGAGUAUGCGUUCUAUUAGCUAGUUGGAGAGGUAACGGCUCCCCAAGGCGACGAUAGAUAGGGGUUCUGAGAGGGAUGUCCCCCACACUGGUACUGAGAUACGGACCAGACUCCUACGGGAGGCAGCAGUGAGGAAUAUUGGACAAUGGUCGGAAGACUGAUCCAGCCAUGCCGCGUGCAGGAUGAAGGUCCUAUGGAUUGCAAACUGCUUUUGUAAGGGAAGAAUAAGGAGUACGUGUACUUUGAUGACGGUACCUUACGAAUAAGCAUCGGCUAACUCCGUG
rnacentral:rRNA from 1 species